GGGCGUAAGGGCUCGCAGGCGGUUUCUUAAGUCUGAUGUGAAAGCCCCCGGCUCAACCGGGGAGGGUCAUUGGAAACUGGGAAACUUGAGUGCAGAAGAGGAGAGUGGAAUUCCACGUGUAGCGGUGAAAUGCGUAGAGAUGUGGAGGAACACCAGUGGCGAAGGCGACUCUCUGGUCUGUAACUGACGCUGAGGAGCGAAAGCGUGGGGAGCGAACAGGAUUAGAUACCCUGGUAGUCCACGCCGUAAACGAUGAGUGCUAAGUGUUAGGGGGUUUCCGCCCCUUAGUGCUGCAGCUAACGCAUUAAGCACUCCGCCUGGGGAGUACGGUCGCAAGACUGAAACUCAAAGGAAUUGACGGGGGCCCGCACAAGCGGUGGAGCAUGUGGUUUAAUUCGAAGCAACGCGAAGAACCUUACCAGGUCUUGACAUCCUCUGACAACCCUAGAGAUAGGGCUUUCCCUUCGGGGACAGAGUGACAGGUGGUGCAUGGUUGUCGUCAGCUCGUGUCGUGAGAUGUUGGGUUAAGUCCCGCAACGAGCGCAACCCUUGAUCUUAGUUGCCAGCAUUUAGUUGGGCACUCUAAGGUGACUGCCGGUGACAAACCGGAGGAAGGUGGGGAUGACGUCAAAUCAUCAUGCCCCUUAUGACCUGGGCUACACACGUGCUACAAUGGACAGAACAAAGGGCUGCGAGACCGCAAGGUUUAGCCAAUCCCAUAAAUCUGUUCUCAGUUCGGAUCGCAGUCUGCAACUCGACUGCGUGAAGCUGGAAUCGCUAGUAAUC
rnacentral:rRNA from 1 species